rnacentral:lncRNA from 1 species
GCGGAUCCUCGUGUGCCGGCCGGUCAAGGAGGAGGAUCCCCACCAAACGCACGAAGAGGCCUCGGAUCCGUGGGUUUGCUCAUGGAUUUCUCCACCGAAUCCUCGCCGGAAGGGCCGCCGGAGCAUCCCGCCGGACCGAGGUAAGCCCUUGUGCUUCAUUGCUUGAUUUUUGGGUCGUGUGAGUGGGAUUUUGGCCGGCGGAUCGUCGGGAAAGAGUCCGAAACAGGGUACCCCUGUUUCGGCCUCCCUCUUCUGAAUGUUGGCCGCCGCCGGUCGCCGGUUGGCCGGGAUCCAUGGCAUUGGGGGUUGAUCGAGUUGUGUAAGGGUGGAGAUGAGUUCCUAGGGCCUUGUUGGGGAUCGGGAUGGGUGGACCGAGGGCUUUCCGCAUGGUUCCAUCCCAUCUCCUUUCUCCCUUCCGCGUUGGUUGGCCACCGGCGGUGACGAUGGCGGCUGGCCACAGGCGGCGGCGGCGGUGAUCGUGGACCCUUGUGGCUGCCGUCGGGUGGGGGGAGCCGAACCACCAUUUCGGUGGUCUUCGGUUGAUGAUGGAAGAAAAAGGGGUAGGGGACAGUGUCGAUUGGAAAGAAGAAGAAGAAGAAGAAGAAGGAAGAAGAAAAAAGAAAGAAGAAGAGGAGGAGGAGACCCCUUCUCCUCUCUUUCUCUUGGCCGGCCACCAUCGCCGGCGACUGCAGCAGGGGCGGCCGGCGAUGGUUCGGCCAAUGGUGGCCGAGUUGUUGUCGGGUUGGAGAAGGAGAGGGCACAGCCACCAUGGCUGUUGCCCUUGGAUCAAAAAGAUUUGAGGGAGGGAGAUGUACUCCCAACCAUGAAGAGAGAGGAAUCAUUCCUUUAUGUUGGUCUCUUUACCGGGACCGGCCAUCAUCGCCGGCGUGGCAGCGGCCACGGUUGGCGACGACGUAGGCCGGUGGUACAAGGUGGGAGUCGGGCUACCCCGACUGCCCUAGAUCUGGAGGGAUUGAGAUGUUUGGGGACCUGAUGAUGGACCCCAUAACAGAUGAGAAUUAUAGUUCAGAAUAUGUUAAUAUUAAAUAAUUUAGUUGUGAUUUAUAAUUAAUGUUGUAGGGGAAGAGUCAACGGAGCCAGGAGGUUUUGAUCAGGGGACUCAGCACCCCAGCGCGUAGGUUGUGAUUCGGAC